rnacentral:rRNA from 1 species
UGUCGUCAGCUCGUGUUGUGAAAUGUUGGGUUAAGUCCCGCAACGAGCGCAACCCUUAUCCUUUGUUGCCAGCGGUCCGGCCGGGAACUCAAAGGAGACUGCCAGUGAUAAACUGGAGGAAGGUGGGGAUGACGUCAAGUCAUCAUGGCCCUUACGACCAGGGCUACACACGUGCUACAAUGGCGCAUACAAAGAGAAGCGACCUCGCGAGAGCAAGCGGACCUCAUAAAGUGCGUCGUAGUCCGGAUUGGAGUCUGCAACUCGACUCCAUGAAGUCGGAAUCGCUAGUAAUCGUGGAUCAGAAUGCCACGGUGAAUACGUUCCCGGGCCUUGUACACACCGCCCGUCACACCAUGGGAGUGGGUUGCAAAAGAAGUAGGUAGCUUAACCUUCGGGAGGGCGCUUACCACUUUGUGAUUCAUGACUGGGGUGAAGUCGUAACAAGGUAACCGUAGGGG